UCAUACGAGAAAAGAGCGGGUGGCAUC
rnacentral:piRNA from 1 species